AUCCUUGGAAAGGUAAAAUGAUUGGCUAGAAUCCAAAGUGUAUGACAUCUCAAGAAAAAAAAAGCACCGAAAUGGGCGCCGCUUUUCGGUCUGGUUACUACCGUUUAUGUCAGAACCUGGCACCGGAUACCCAUCCCUAUGCACAGCUAGAUUAUGGUCUGAUCCAAUGAUCUGCUGUAUGAGUGAGUUCGAUCCUCUGUUUUUUGAUCACCUUCUGCGUUGUAUCAAGAGCAGGAUGCUGUCCAUAUGGUUGGUUUUUGUGUGGGCUGAAGUAAAGAAAGACUUUAUUGAGAAACAUCACGUCCUCUUUUCCUGUCUCCUCCUCCCUGAUCCUGGUUUUCUUCCCGAUUAAAGAGAGUUCUUCCUCUCUGCUGUCACCAGGUACCCUCUGAUGUUGUUGGUCGUUUGUAUAACGAUGAGAGAUGGGUUUGGCGUGCUCUGUUUGGCUACACUUCCUGUUUCUGGAUCUUUUGGAGAAAGUUAGAACCCUCUGUUCAAGUGUUUUUCAGAAAGCAGGUAAAACUGAGCUUCCUGUCGCUGUGAUUCUGCUAUAAUACUGCAGCUGUUGGCAGAUGUUUGUGUCUUGCAGUGAACCAUCUGAAUGUUUGAGGACUAAAAAUCAUUCUUUAUUUUUGAUGCAUCAUGAAAACAAUCAGAAACUUCCUGUGCUGCUGUGUCAGAUUAAAAGUCUGCAGAUAAACACUGGAACUCUUUUUUUUCUCUAGAUGAAUCAGACACGUUGUCUCUGUUUUAGGCUCUAACCAACGGACUGCUGAUUAGACAAGGGGAACUGCUGUCAUCUUCAAGGACUAAUCAGCAACAGCCAUUUCUGUUGGAGAGUCUUUAGAAACCACUGCAUCCCAGCUUGAGGAGAAACUCAGUCCUGUAUUUCAGGAUCUCCUGCCCUGCUGCUUGAGGUCGAGUCCUGUUUCGGAGUCAGGCACACUCACUGGUUCUCCUGGUUGGCAAA